GCUCAGGGGGGACCUUCUCACUCUCUACAGCUCCUGACAGGAGGUCAUAGUGACGUGGGGGUCUGUUUCUUCUCCUGGGCAACAAGUGGCAGGAUGAGAGGAAAUGGCCUCUCGUUGCACCAGGAAAGGUUCAGAUUGGAUUUUAGGAACAUUUUUUCAUGGAAAGGAUUAUAAAGCCCUUGGGAACGGCACCUGAGAACAUGGUUUAAUGGUGAACAUGGUAGUGCUGGUCAGACUUGCUGAUCUUAAAAGUUUCUUCCAGCCUUCACAAUUCUAUGCAGACUCUGCUCACAAGUUUUCCCUGAGAAGCAAACAAACUGCGAUGUAUAUGGGAUUGGCUGAGCUAAUCCUGUUUGCAGUUCCUCCUCUCUGCUGUAGCACCUGGGCCCAUUCCCUUUGUCUCACUGGCCACCUGGCUCCUUCAGCUGCUUUGUGGCUCUGUUGCUUACCUGUGGAACUGUCUGGGAGGGGACUGACUUGUUUAAACCAUUCACGUGUCUACGUGUGAUGGCUUUUCUGUGAUCCUGAGGGAAUGGUGCAGCACAAACAAUUAAUAAUCAUUUCUGAUCAGAUACAAACUCAUUACAUGUUAAAUGCUCUUCUAAUGAGAAGUGAAGCUCACAUCUCAGAAGACAGAGCCUGUGUUUCUGGUUUAAGGAUGCUAUCCCAGUAAUUCCUCCUGCCACACACAGGCAGGCUGCACAAGUCACUUUCACAGGAGGUCAGAGAGUCAAACAGUGUGACUGGAAUUUUAAAAAGCCAACUGCCUGAAGGUCCAGAGGCAGACUCCAUGUGACAACAACUCAGAACACUGGACAAACAAAGCAAUUGAGGCACUGCUUGCUGGAGAGAACCAGAGAGAAGCCAACUUCACGAGUAUCCACAGAGUCUGACAGAGUAUUGUGUUUACUGUUCUCUCCCUGGCUAAGGCAGGAAAGGACUACAGCUGAAGCAGG